GGAGCAAUCCCAAGUAGAGUGGCGGAAGGGCGAGUUAAUGCAUUCCUAACGUGCCCCAAGGUCAGGGAUAGCUCACCGAAAGGUGUGGUAAUACCUGAUAAACCUGUGAGACCGCAUGGUCUUAUCGGCAAAGGCUUGCUGCCUUGGGAGCGGGGAAUGUCCUAUCAGCUAGUUGGUGAGGUAAUGGCUCACCAAGGCUAAGACGGGUAGCCGGUGUGAGAGCACGGCCGGCCGCAUCGGGACUGAGACACUGCCCGGACUCCUACGGGAGGCUGCAGUAACGAAUAUUCCACAAUGGGCGAAAGCCUGAUGGAGCAAUGCCGCGUGCAGGAUGAAGCCCCUCGGGGUGUAAACUGCUGUCAGGGUUCAGGAAAUCAAUGACCAGACCCAAAGGAAGAGGCGGCUAACUCUGUGCCAGCAGCCGCGGUAAUACAGAGGCCUCGAGCGUUGCGCGGAAUCACUGGGCUUAAAGGGUGCGUAGGUGGAUGUGCAAGUGCCUUGUGAAAUCCCCGGGCUCAACCCGGGAACUGCUUGGUAGACUGCACGUCUUGAGGUCGGUAGGGGUCGCUGGAACAGUUGGUGGAGCGGUGAAAUGCGUAGAUAUCAACUGGAACGCCAAAGGCGAAGGCAAGCGACUGGGCCGAUUCUGACACUGAGGCACGAAAGCGUGGGGAGCAAACGGGAUUAGAUACCCCGGUAGUCCACGCCCUAAACGAUGUACACUAGAUCGUGGAGGCUCUGACGCCCUCAUGGUCGAAGCAAAAGUAUUUAGUGUACCGCCUGGGGAGUACGGUCGCAAGAUUAAAACUCAAA
rnacentral:rRNA from 1 species